UGGUUUGAUUUAAUUUUGUUUGUUUUUGUUUUGUUACUUACCUUAUUUUUUUUAUUGUAUCUUUUUUUCUUCACGUUUGAACAAAUUUCUUCCGUUAUUCUUGGAAACGAAACUGUCCUGAUUUCGCCACGAUUCGAACAAUCAGCUCAGUUGUUUAUAGUUAUUCAAAGAAAAAAGAACAAAACAAAAA